rnacentral:rRNA from 1 species
UACAGAGGGUGCAAGCGUUAAUCGGAUUUACUGGGCGUAAAGGGCGCGUAGGCGGUCAGCACAAGUCAGUUGUGAAAUCUCCGGGCUUAACUCGGAAAGGUCAACUGAUACUGUGCGACUAGAGUGCAGAAGGGGCAACUGGAAUUCUCGGUGUAGCGGUGAAAUGCGCAGAUAUCGGGAGGAACACCAAUGGCGAAGGCAGCUCGCUGGGACGGUACUGACGCUGAGACGCGAAAGCGUGGGGAGCAAACAGG